rnacentral:rRNA from 2 species
CUCAGGAUGAACGCCGGCGGUGUGCCUAAUACAUGCAAGUCGAACGCGUUGGCCCAAUUGAUUGAUGGUGCUUGCACCUGAUUGAUUUUGGUCGCCAACGAGUGGCGGACGGGUGAGUAACACGUAGGUAACCUGCCCAGAAGCGGGGGACAACAUUUGGAAACAGAUGCUAAUACCGCAUAACAACGUUGUUCGCAUGAACAACGCUUAAAAGAUGGCUUCUCGCUAUCACUUCUGGAUGGACCUGCGGUGCAUUAGCUUGUUGGUGGGGUAAUGGCCUACCAAGGCGAUGAUGCAUAGCCGAGUUGAGAGACUGAUCGGCCACAAUGGGACUGAGACACGGCCCAUACUCCUACGGGAGGCAGCAGUAGGGAAUCUUCCACAAUGGGCGCAAGCCUGAUGGAGCAACACCGCGUGAGUGAAGAAGGGUUUCGGCUCGUAAAGCUCUGUUGUUAAAGAAGAACACGUAUGAGAGUAACUGUUCAUACGUUGACGGUAUUUAACCAGAAAGUCACGGCUAACUACGUGCCAGCAGCCGCGGUAAUACGUAGGUGGCAAGCGUUAUCCGGAUUUAUUGGGCGUAAAGAGAGUGCAGGCGGUUUUCUAAGUCUGAUGUGAAAGCCUUCGGCUUAACCGGAGAAGUGCAUCGGAAACUGGAUAACUUGAGUGCAGAAGAGGGUAGUGGAACUCCAUGUGUAGCGGUGGAAUGCGUAGAUAUAUGGAAGAACACCAGUGGCGAAGGCGGCUACCUGGUCUGCAACUGACGCUGAGACUCGAAAGCAUGGGUAGCGAACAGGAUUAGAUACCCUGGUAGUCCAUGCCGUAAACGAUGAGUGCUAGGUGUUGGAGGGUUUCCGCCCUUCAGUGCCGGAGCUAACGCAUUAAGCACUCCGCCUGGGGAGUACGACCGCAAGGUUGAAACUCAAAGGAAUUGACGGGGGCCCGCACAAGCGGUGGAGCAUGUGGUUUAAUUCGAAGCUACGCGAAGAACCUUACCAGGUCUUGACAUCUUGCGCCAACCCUAGAGAUAGGGCGUUUCCUUCGGGAACGCAAUGACAGGUGGUGCAUGGUCGUCGUCAGCUCCUGUCCUGAGAUGUUGGGUUAAGUCCCGCAACGAGCGCAACCCUUGUUACUAGUUGCCAGCAUUAAGUUGGG